UUCUCUCUACCCUGUUCGUCGGCAGUAGUACCCGGGCGGAAUGCUAUACAAACGGGGGUCGCUCCCUGCUGUGGUGUGCUGCCCCAUUACGCGGGAUUUGCCUGAAGCAGCAUACUGACUCCCACAGUUGAGGAAACUCGCUGGAGGUCCUUUAAGCAGACGGCAGGGUGGAGAGAGG
rnacentral:other from 1 species